CACAAACUUGUGCCACAAGUUUGACAAAUGUCUGCAAAAUUUCGGUAGUUAUGUGGAAAAGUAGUUUAAGAGUUGUAGAAUUUUGUGCAAUAAAUAACUUUUUUGUAUCUGUACACAAUUUAAUUUUAUUACCAAACGGAACUUACUUUCUGGACCUACCACGUAUUAUUAUAGUUCUA